UCUCCAGCUGAUUUUGGACUACAAUUCCCAUCAUCCCUUACUAAUGGUCAUGAUGAUGGGAGUUGUGGUCCAAAAACAGCUGGAGA